rnacentral:snRNA from 1 species
AUACUUACCUGGCACAGGGCAUACCGUGAUCAUGAAGGCGGUUCCACCAGGAUGAGGCUAUAAUUGCACUUCGGUUGGGCUGACCCCUGCGAUUACUCCUAAUGUGGGUAAUUCGGGUGCAUAAUUAUGGAUAGUCGGGACUGCGUUCGCGCAGACCCGGU